UUAAGACUGAAAGGGAGAAGAUUUGCCAUCAUGAAAGAAAUCCAGGAAGAAUCACAGGAGGCUCCAGACACGGUGACAAAGACAAAAGAAGACUACAGGAGAUGUUUCCAGGAAUGGGAGAAGCACUGGGACAAGUGUACAUCUCAAGGAGAUUACUUUGAAGGGGAUUGGAAAGACAAAAUGAACAGAACUACAGGUGAUUUCCCUUAAUUGGAGCCUCAGUAAGGUGCCCACCACAUAGUGUAUCAAUUGGCCAUCACAGCAUCAUAGUUAAGUCAAUAUCUAUUACGUGUAGCAGCUGCAUCAUCCCCCUUUCUUUUCAAUUUACCCCCCUCAGUCAGCAUUUCCAUAAUCAUGUGAGAAGAAGAACAGUAAUGAAUCAACUCCACAGACUGAGAUGAGGAGGGUGUGGCUUUGCUACACCGUUUUAGGCAACAAACGCAUGAAUGCUCAGAAACAAAACUGCAUGUGUGUACCCAUUCAAAAGUGUGUCUGUGCAGAGCAGAAAGGAAGAGAGAAAGAAGACAGGAAAACAACACAGAAAGUCUUCAGUGGCCUUAAAGAUGGCUCAAGGGCAGCUCAGUGAAGAGCGGUGCAGUUUGGAGAUACAGGGAGUCAACUGGACCACUUCAGAACUUAUAAACAUGAGUUCACCCAACUCGAAGUCUUUUGACUUGAAAUGCUGAGUGGAAUGAAUAACUGAGUUCACUCAGCUCAUUCAGUUUCCAAAGAAACAUCAUCAGCAUAUUACCAGACUCCCCAGCAUGCACUGUUGAAACAAACAUGAUGGAAACUUGGUAUGUGUCUUUUAUACAUGUUAAGAAAAGUCUUGGUUGUUUCUUUUCAUAAUAAUGAAAACGACUCAAACCAUGAUAAAGGAGAGUGUGGAAUUCAUUCCCAACCCUCAAGCACUUAUAAUUUUACAAGUUCACUGAGAGCAGCCUUGCAUGUUUUCUUUGUGCUGCCUCUGCUGUAAUUUAGCUCCAUUAUGAACAGUGACAGCUGUAAGUUCUUUGUGACAAAUAAAA